rnacentral:lncRNA from 1 species
GGAGGCUGGUGCAGAAAAUGGUGUUUUGCAGUAUAAUUCUUCUUGUUGGUUUUUAGUCUAAAAUUAUAUUUUAGUUGAUUUACGAGUGUUCAUCCACUUACCAUACCAUGUUCAGUUUAUAUGUUUAUAUAUAUAUAUCGUAGGCAUUAACACCACUCCCCGAGUCGUCUCCUUUUGUAUGCUAGUUAUAGUGUCAUGACCUACUUUUGGAUUAGAGGUGAGCGACUUUAAAAUUCAUGUUGGAAACCUAAUUUGUUUUAUAUAUAUAUAUAUAUUAGGAACUGCAUGGAUUUAUAUAUGAAAUGAGUUAGAGACAUGAUAUGUUGCUCUUAAAUCAACAAGCAACCGUGAUGUACUAAAUGUACGUGGGAUUACCAAUGACUCAUUUUUAAUCAAGAACUCAAGCAUAUCUCGACCAGCUUUUAUACAAGUGUUUGGAUGUAAAAGCUGAUAGGGUUCCUAGUUCUAUAGGGAUUGAGAUUCAUUGUUCUGUUGCAUUAAGGAUCCACUUAGUGUUUCUUGAUGGGCAAGACACCUUGAGGAAUGCGUAUAAAUAGAGGGCUCCCUCCUCCUCAGUCGAUGAUAUACAACUCGUAAAGUAAUUCACCCCAGCUGAAACUUGAGACUAAGGCAUCGGCUCUAGGAGAAGAACUCUCUUCUGUUUACUUAGGCUUUUCAACUCCAUGGCUAGUGUUUGAUAUGUUUAUAGCUUAUGAAGUUCACAUACUUUCUCUCUUCUCCAAUGAUAUCG